rnacentral:rRNA from 1 species
GAUCCUGGCUCAGGAUGAACGCUGGCGGCGUGCUUAGCACAUGCAAGUCGAACGAAGCUCCCAGAUCUGAAGAUUCGUCUGAAGUGAAGGGAAGACUUAGUGGCGGACGGGUGAGUAACGCGUGGGUAACCCUGCCGUAUACAGGGGGAUAACAGUUAGAAAUGACUGCUAAUACCGCAUAAGCGCACAGUAAGGCAUCUUACAGUGUGAAAAACUCCGGUGGUAUACGAUGGACCCGCGUCUGAUUAGCCAGUUGGCAGGGUAACGGCCUACCAAAGCGACGAUCAGUAGCCGGCCUGAGAGGGUGAACGGCCACAUUGGGACUGGGACACGGCCCAAACUCCUACGGGAGGCAGCAGUGGGGAAUAUUGCACAAUGGGGGAAACCCUGAUGCCAGCGACGCCGCGUGAGUGAAGAAGCAUUUCGGUGCGUAAAGCUCUAUCAGCAGGGAAGAAAAUGACGGUACCUGACUAAGAAGCCCCGGCUAACUACGUGCCAGCCGCCGC